rnacentral:tRNA from 1 species
UCUGAUGGCUCAGACGGUAAAGAAUCUGCCUGCAAUGCAGGAGAUUCAGGGUUCGAUCCCUGGCUCAGAA